GCAGGAGUCAGCUGCAUGUUGAACACCCAUACAACUGGGAGAAUGGAAAAAUUCUUYAAAGAACCACUGAAGUUUGGUCCAGACAGAUUCAACCCAGAACUUCCCAAAUGGAGGCUAAAAUGUGAUGGUGAAGCUGCUCCAGAGGUUUGACUUCUCCCUCUUUCCAGGACAGACCGUUGACAUUGAGGACAUCGCUGCACGGAGGCCAAAAUGGUGAGUGAUUUGCUCCAUUAAACACAGGAAGUAGAAUUUAAAAGAUGCUAAAACCUAAUAACAAAUUACUGGAUGUUCAGACAAGCUAAUUGUUGCUGUUUUUCUCUCAAGCAGAAAGUUUUUAUGAUUGAGGUGAUAAAAAGUAYAUGUUGACCACAGUAGAUUCCAAUGAUUGUCUUUGAUUUUCUUCUUGCUAUCUUUGCCUUUUUGUUUUUUUC